rnacentral:rRNA from 1 species
UACGAAGGGGGCUAGCGUUGCUCGGAAUCACUGGGCGUAAAGCGCACGUAGGCGGCUUUCUAAGUCAGGGGUGAAAUCCUGGAGCUCAACUCCAGAACUGCCUUUGAUACUGGAGAGCUAGAGUCCGGAAGAGGUGAGUGGAACUGCGAGUGUAGAGGUGAAAUUCGUAGAUAUUCGCAAGAACACCAGUGGCGAAGGCGGCUCACUGGUCCGGUACUGACGCUGAGGAGCGAAAGCGUGGGUAGCAAACAAG